rnacentral:rRNA from 1 species
CACCUGUUUAUCAAAAACAUAGCUUUUUGAUUAUAAUUUAAGGUUAUUUCUGCCCUAUGAAAUUUUUAAAUGGCUGCAGUAUAUUGACUGUGCUAAGGUAGCAUAAUCAAUUGUUUCUUAAUUAGAAACUUGGAUGAAAGAAAAAAUGAGAUUUAAGCUGUCUCAAGUUAAAAUUUAUAAAUUAUUUUUUAAGUAAAAAAACUUAAAUAAUAUUAUGGGACGAGAAGACCCUAUAGAAUUUUAAAUAAUUUUAUUAUGAGAUUUUUAUAUUAUAUUGAUAAUAAUAAUUAUUUUUAGUUGGGAGGAUGGUUAAAUUAUUAUAACUUUAAUUAAUAAAUAUCAUUUAUUAAUGAUUUUUAGAGAAUGAUUAAUGACUUAUAAUUAAUAAAGAAUUAAUUACCUUAGGGAUAACAGCGUAAUAUUUUUAGAGAGAUCAUAUUAAUAAAAAUGAUUGCGACCUCGAUGUUGAAUUAAGGUAAAAAUUAGGUGUAGAAGCUUAAUAUUUAGGUCUGUUCGACCUUUAAAAUCUUACAUGAUUUGAGUUCAAAUCGACG